UAGGGAAUCUUCGGCAAUGGACGAAAGUCCGACCGAGCAACGCCGCGUGAGUGAAGAAGGUUUUCGGAUCGUAAAACUCUGUUGGUAGAGAAGAACGUUGGUGAGAGUGGAAAGCUCAUCAAGUGACGGUAACUACCCAGAAAGGGACGGCUAACUACGUGCCA
rnacentral:rRNA from 1 species